CGACACCCACCAGCCGAACACCACCCCCUGUCAGUUGCAGAGCUGACCACCACCAUCGGGUGGUGGUGAGUGACGUUUGGACCCAGAAGUGAGAGAGAUCAGAGAGAGAGGAGAGCCGACGUUGUUCGAGCGGCGACAAGGCUGAGAAGAGAGAGAGGCAUAUGGACGAGAGAGAAAGAAGGGCGGCAGCAGCACCGCCGUACACGUCGGUGGCCGGCGGCGGUUCGGAAUGAUUUUUUGGCGACCCGCCAGAGAAGAUGAUGGUGGCGGCGGUUUUGUUUCUCCUGACAGCUUCACGAUGAGAGGUUGAAAGGGACUGACGGUGCGUUGAUUCGUGUGGUUGUUUCGAGCUCGGGUCAGGUUAAGGAUCAAGGUCAGCCACGGUUCAGGAUAACGUUUUGUGUUUUUGUGCUAGCUUUUGGCUAACUGUUUAAUUUAAAUUCGUCAGUUCAAAAAUUUGCAAAAUGUGGACUUUCUAAAAAUUUGCAAAAUGUGGUAUAGAGGAGAUUACCACCAACCUCCUCCUCCUGUUGUUGCCAGUGAUAGAAGGACUAACCAGCUGGACCUCAGUCUGCAGCCAAUAUAUUCAUGCUACUGGAGGCUUCAUGAUUUGUCCUCGGCUCUCGAGCAACCACAACAGUAUUAAUUACACUUGAUGACGAUCAGUAGCGGAGCAUGAACGAAAACGCGGUGGGGGCCGGACUCUCAAAAUCCGUAUGAAGGUUAUGGAUUCAUCAACAAAAACAUCGGUGUUCAAGGUAGUGGAGGACAUAAAAGAAAUAACGUUUUGGUGGGUGACGAAGUGGUCAAGGCUUCAACGGAAUCACUUUACAAAAGGGGUGUUCAUUUACUGGUGAAAUGCUCUAAAGGAACCACAAAACUCCACCAAAUCU